CACGUAGGCGGAUAUUUAAGUCAGGGGUGAAAUCCCAGAGCUCAACUCUGGAACUGCCUUCGAUACUGGGUAUCUUGAGUAUGGAAGAGGUAAGUGGAAUUCCGAGUGUAGAGGUGAAAUUCGUAGAUAUUCGGAGGAACACCAGUGGCGAAGGCGGCUUACUGGUCCAUUACUGACGCUGAGGUGCGAAAGCGUGGGGAGCAAACA
rnacentral:rRNA from 1 species